CCAAUUGAAAGAGUCAGCUCCUCUCUGAAACUGCCCCUCUCUCAAAUUCAUCAUCUCUAUGAAUAAUAAUUAGCCCAAAUCCACCCCUCCCAAAAAAUCAUCUCUAGCUCUGGAAACUCUCUCGCCCAAAUCAUAAAUAAUCCACCAGUUCUUUCAUUCCAUAUUUGAUAGAUUUGAUCCUGACUUGUGCUUGAACUCAAGGGGUUCUGGGCUCGUUCUUGAAUCUUGCGGUCUUGAUCUUGAAUUUUGAUGAAUGCUUGAGCUUUAUAGAGAAAUUGUGGCAUUUGAUCCACGACUUUCUCUUGCUUUUUGUUAGAGUUGUUCAUCCUCUUUUCUGAAUUAUAAGACCCCUAUUUAUAGUUGUGGAAAGAAAAAAGUUAUGAUGAAUAUGACCUUCCUUUGACCAAUUAAAUUUAUGUGACGUGACACCUUUUAUGA